UUUUUUUUUUUUUCCCUCAUACCUUUCGUGGAUCAUCUGUGCAGUGUUUUACCCCUAAAUGUAUAAAGAACUUUUGCAUGGUUGGAACUGUCUCAGGUUGCAACAGGCCACUUGGAGAGACAAGCAGUGAGCCUCUGUGAACUUGUGUUUUACUGUGCUCCGUGUUUGUCACUGCACAUGAUGUGGGGACCCUGACAUCAUCCCAUGGCCCUCCACGGGGCCAAAAUGGAAGAAGCGCUGCCUGAAUGCAGGAGGGUGGACAGACUGUCACUGAUGAGCUCGCACAGCAGCCAGGCUGAGCGGCCUUCUCCAUAGAGCCCAGGGGUGCUCAGGUCGGGCUCAUCUUCAAUUACAGAAUUGGCUGGCUCACAAACAGGCUGGAGGGAGUCCUCUGUCUCAAACCAGACACCUGCAUGCCUGUGACAGAUCUGUCCCCACAGGCCAUUCUCUGAGCACAGCACAGCUGAAUCCAGAACAAACACCUCUCUCAAAGGGCCUGUGUUUCAUUUAAUAGAGUUCAAAUUGAGUGUCCAGAAACCUUGAUGCUUUUUUAUUUCUUCAAUGCCUUCUGCAGCAGCUGAAGGGAUUCCCUGGGCCCCCACCCCGCCCACAUCUCAGGACCUCCUCACCUGCGAGGUCUGCCACUGCCACAACUUCUCAAUUGUUCUAAAAUAGUGCCCGGUGCCCAAGGUGAGUUAUUGAAGGGCUGGCUGAAAAUCUGGGGACCUGCAUAUAUAAUACAUCUGCAGAACUUCUGGGCAGGAGCUGUGUUCAUAAUUGCUUCUAGAGCCUGGGUGAGCAACAAAAUUAAAACUUUUUAAAAACACAGAUUCAAAAGUCCCACCCUAGGCUAAUGGACUUAGAAUCUCAGAUGAUAGGGUCUGAGAAUGUGAGUUUUUAACAAGUAAUAUUAGUUGGUUAUUACUACAUACACCCCAAAAUGCAUGGCUUAAAGCAGUAAGCAUUUAUUAUUUCUCUUGAAUCUACAGGUCAUCUGAGCAGUUCUCCUGAUCUCAGCUGGGCUCAUUCAUUCAUCUAUGGUGAAUGUAGUUUGGGUAGGUAGCUCUACUGAUCCAGGCCAGGCAACUUCACUUUGGGGAGAAUCAACUAGCUAAAGGCUAGUCUAUGAGGAGGUUGGUUGGGAUUGCUGGGCCCCCAUCCAUAUGAUCUCUCCUCUUCCAGGAGGUCACCCUGGGCUUGUUCACAGGGGCUCUGAGGAGCUAAAGCAAGUAAGACUUCUUGAGGCCUAAGCUUGGAACAGGCACAUUGUACUUUCAUCUCAUUCCACCGGCCAAAGCAAGUCCUAAGGCCAGUCCAGACUCAUUAGAGAAAGGGAAUGGGAUCUCCGUCUUCAUGGGAGAGGCUGCAAAGGCCCACAACAAGAAGCAUGGACAUUGGAAGGAAUGAAAAUUGAGAACAUUUCUGCAAUCAAUCUGCUGCAUAUGUCCCCUGGUGAGCCUAAUGCAGGCAGCCUGGCAUCAAUCUACAGACCAUCUGUGUAUUCCAGGGAUAAAUGGUGUCCUCUCAAGAUGCCUACAGAGAAGGCCACUCAAGGCCUCCCAUUGUGUUAUUCAUCCAUGGGGCUUAAUUAAUUCUCAUAUCACAGAGUCUGCACCUUGUUACUGGUACCAAAACCUCAAUCUUGUCAGCACUACAUAGGUAAUCUUGGGCCUGGCUGACCUCACCCAACUCACAAAAGCCUCAGUUCUUACUAACCAAGAGCGAAUCAAUUCAUUUACACAGCAUUCUUUCCCUAAAAGCAGAGACAUGGAAAGACCAAUCAGAACCAGAAGUCUGCUUUAUGUAUCAGGUAGGAUGUUUUCAGUUGCCACUGAUACAAAAAUCAGCUCAAGCAACUGAAGCAAAGAGAGCAAGUUCACACAUUUGUUUAAGUCUGGGUGUUGGCCUGUCUUGACCCAAGAGCUUAAACAAUGCCUUCAGGCUACUCCUCUCCAUCUUUUGUCUCCGUCUUCUGCUGCAUAGGUUCCAUUCUCAAGCUGCAGUAGAAUACUCAGCAAGAGUAUUCUAGUAUCUAGAAGACUGACAUCCUCACAGGCUCAAGACCAAUUGAAAAAGAAAGUGUGUUUUGUCUCUCAAUAUUCCAGCAAAAUCUUGUUUCUUCUUACUGACUCUGAAUGGGACACAUGGCCAUCUCUAAGCCAAUCACUAUGGGAGGAGAAUAUGAUAUUGUCUAUGCUGAUGAGGAUGGACUAACAAGAUAAAUAAGAACUGUAGUAUGUCAGAUGGUGACUAGUGUCAGAGGAAAAAAUAGAGCAGAGAAGGAGAACAGAAAAUGUCAGAGUAGGGGCUCAAUUUUAAACAUGGUGGCCAAAGAAGAUAUCACUGAAAAGUAUAGAUCAAACGUGGGCCUCGGCAAGGUGUGCAGAUGCCUACAGAAGGGCAAUCCAAACAGAAAGUAGAGCCAGCGUGAAGUCCCUCGGGCAGGGGUGGGAUGGUCUCAUUGGCUCUUUGUUCCCAUACAUUUAGAGAUACCCCAGCCCCCCCAGCCCUGGACAGGGGACUGUGGAUUAAUCAUCUGGUUUAAGCUCCUACUCAUGCAGAUGAAGCCAGACACUUUAAUCCUCAAUUUUUAUUUUUGUCUGUUAUGACCAUGACAUUUUUAAGGCUCAUGGGCCAGUUAUUUUGCAGAAUGUCCCUCAAAUUAAGGGUCUGAUGUUCCUCAAUCACAUCUAAGUUACACAUAUUGGACAGAGAUACCAUAGCAGUGAUGGUGUGUUCUGCUCAGUGUGUCAAAUCAAGAGACCCAUGACAUCAAUUUGUCUCAUUCCAAGAUGUUAACUUUGAUCAUCUCAUUAAGGUGCUGUGUGUCAGGCUUCUACACGUUUCUGUUUUUCCAUUUGCCACCCUAAAUAUCUUAUGGAGAGGCACUUAAAGAUUAUGUUAAUAUCCUGUCUAUCAAACUUUCACCCCCUUGUUUUGACAGCUUUUUAAAAAAAAAUCCCAGGCAAUUCAAAUGUGCAGCCAGGACUGAGAACAUUCCCUAGGGCCUCCCUGUUCCUACAUCCUUUAAAACUAGGAGAAAGAGAUACUGCACAGUCUUCUUCCAGGAAUCGCUGUUCAGUGUGGGCCACAGAGGAAAAUAGGCACAGUGGGCUUAGCACUGCCCACUGUGGCUAAGCAUGAGGUGAGGGAGCCCUGGGCAGAGCAGCUUCAGACUCAGCCAGGGAGGUCAGAGUCAACAUUAAGCAGAGCCUACAGCAGCUCUGGUCCAAUGGCUCUUAGCCUGGGAUGUUUCUCCAUCCAAGUUUGACCUAUUGCAGAAGAGCCCCUCUGUUCUCUGCCCACUCUCCACAGCACCCCAAGAUGUCAGGCCCCUCUGGCUGCAGCAGAUGAAGCAGGACACUGCAGCCAGGAAGUGGGAUCCACAUAGGGUAACCAACUGUCCCAGUUCAUCUAGGACUGAUGAGAUGCCCUGGACACAGGACUUUCAGACUUAAAAAUCAGGAAAGUCCCAGGCAAAUCAGGAUGAGUUGAUCACUCUAACAACCCACUGUAGUGUAGACAUACCUGGUACCCAGUAACCAAGAACUAUACCUAGAAGUGAUCUAGAAAUUCAGGUUUAAAUUAAUUGAUCUAAAAGAUGAGAAGGACAUCUGGUCUUUAAGAAAUUGAUAGGUCCAAAGGUACAGAGCAAGAUUUAGGGGAUGAGCAGAGGGUUCUAUUUUGAUGCAAAUGAGGCACAGAGAUCAAAUGGGACUGAAAGAAGUCCAUAAACCAAACUGGGCUGGUGACUGGUGUGAAUAAGAAAAUGGAGAUAAAGUGCCUUCCCUCCUUCAAGUUCCCACAAGUGUCUCUCCUUCAGAGUUCUGACAGCUGUCAGAGGAUUCAGGCACUAAAAUGAUUAUGAUAUCCACCUCUCUACCCCUACUGCACAUAUAUAUACAUAAUAUAUAAUUCCAAAGACAAAAUGUAAGGAAUUUCAAUAAAAUUCACAACCUCCCUUUCCACUUUGUUGAUGGCCCCAUCUGCUGCUUUUCUAGCAGUGUACCUGUUCUACCUCUUGGGCCCUCCAGCCUUGCUCCUUGCACUGCAAUGCCCUGCUGACCUGUUUGUCUCCUGCUCAGCACUGGAAGCUCCCAGAGCGCAGAUAUUCUACUUAAAGCAUGUCCAUACUCCCAACCAGGGCUGAGCACAAGGACCAAAUAGAUGGCAUUCUCAAAGUAGGCAAUUUGAAGAGAGUUUAAUAAAGGGCUAUUUAUAAAGAUGUGGGCAAGGUGUAGGAUGGUGACUCUCUAUGUUACUACACAUUAAAUGUCCUAGAGAGUCUUAGAAAUCACUGCUUCCUGGAUCUCAUCCCCAGAGAAUAUGACGGAAUUAGUCUAGAGUUGCACCGCUCAGCAUGGUGACCACAUGUGGCUAUUGAGCAUUUGCAAUGUGGCUGGCCCAAAUCAAAAUGUUUUAAGUGCAAGACAUGUAGCAGAUUUUGGAGGCUUAGUACCAAAAACAAGAAUGCAAAAUAUCUCAUUCAUCAUAUUUCAGAAUGAUAUCUUAUUAAAAUGGUAAUAUUUGAACACUGGGAUAGAUAAAAUAUAUCAUAGAAAUUAAUUUUGUCUGGUCAAGUUUUUUUUUUUUUUUUACUUUUAAUAUAAUGUAGCUACUAGACAAUUUAAAAUUACAUAUGCGGCUCAAAUUAUAUUUCUGAUGGACAGUAUAGGUCCAGAGCAUAGCUUGACAUCAGACUGGAA
rnacentral:lncRNA from 1 species